rnacentral:rRNA from 1 species
GACGAACGCUGGCGGCGUGCUUAACACAUGCAAGUCGAACGGAAAGGCCCUGCUUUUGUGGGGUGCUCGAGUGGCGAACGGGUGAGUAACACGUGAGUAACCUGCCCUUGACUUUGGGAUAACUUCAGGAAACUGGGGCUAAUACCGGAUAGGAGCUCCUGCUGCAUGGUGGGGGUUGGAAAGUUUCGGCGGUUGGGGAUGGACUCGCGGCUUAUCAGCUUGUUGGUUGGGUAGUGGCUUACCAAGGCUUUGACGGGUAGCCGUCAUGAGAGGGUGACCGGCAACAAUGGGACUGAGAUACGGCCCAGACUGCAACGGGAGGCAGCAGUGGGGAAUAUUGCACAAUGGGCGGAAGCCUGAUGCAGCAACGCCGCGUGCGGGACGACGGCCUUCGGGUUGUAAACCGCUUUCGCAUGUGACGAAGAGUGAGUGACGGUAAUGGGUAAAGAAGCACCGGCUAACUACGUG